rnacentral:rRNA from 1 species
CCUGAUCUGCCAUGCCGCGUGAGUGACGAAGGCCCUAGGGUCGUAAAGCUCUUUCGCCUGUGAAGAUAAUGACGGUAGCAGGUAAAGAAACCCCGGCUAACUCCGUGCCAGCAGCCGCGGUAAUACGGAGGGGGUUAGCGUUGUUCGGAAUUACUGGGCGUAAAGCGCGCGUAGGCGGACCAUCAAGUUGGGGGUGAAAUCCCGGGGCUCAACCCCGGAACUGCCUCCAAAACUGGCGGUCUGGAGUUCGAGAGAGGUGAGUGGAAUUCCGAGUGUAGAGGUGAAAUUCGUAGAUAUUCGGAGGAACACCAGUGGCGAAGGCGGCUCACUGGCUCGAGACUGACGCUGAGGUGCGAAAGUGUGGGGAGCAAACAGGAUUAGAUACCCUGGUAGUCCACACCGUAAACGAUGAAUGCCAGUCGUCGGCAAGCAUGCUUGUCGGUGACACACCUAGCGGAUUAAGCAUUCCGCCUGGGGAGUACGGCCGCAAGGUUAAAACUCAAAGGAAUGGACGGA